UACGUAGGGGGCGAGCGUUGCUCCGGAGUACUGGGCGUAAAGCGCACGCAGGCGGUCUGCUAAGUUUGGAGUGACAGUUGGUGGCUUAACUGCCAAAGUGCUUCGAAAACUGACAGACUUGAGGGCUUCAGAGGGACACGGAAUUCCGGGUGGAGUGGUGAAAUGCGUAGAGAUCCGGAGGAACACCAAAGGCAAAGGCAGUGUCCUGGGGAGUACCUGACGCUCAGGUGCGAAAGCCAGGGGAGCGAACGGG
rnacentral:rRNA from 1 species